AAACCUUUAUAUAAACACGUAAAUUUAGAAUGAUAUAAUGACAAUGUCUUUGAUUGUCAGAUAAAGAAUACAUUUUUUUUUAUCAUGUGUUGGUUAUAGUAUAUACAUAAAACGCGCACGUAUUUGUAGAAAAUGGAAGCUACACGUUUAAUAAUUUCAUGCGUCCGAAGCGCUUUUCCGGAUCUACCUUCAACAAGAACGCUCAAAGCCAAACAUUUGAAAUCCGAAGAUGUAUAAGUGCCUAACUCGUUGAAGAGCUAUAUGACAAAAAUACCAAAAAUAAAUAGCCAAAUUCAGGUAAAGUUAACUUUGCCUGAUGGUGUUGAAACCUUAGUUUCUUUAAAAUAAUUUCAAAAUUUAUCAACAGAUAAUUUUAGAAAAGUUUGUUAAAUCAUGUCAGUACCGAAG
rnacentral:lncRNA from 1 species